GGCUCAGAUUGAACGCUGGCGGCAGGCCUAACACAUGCAAGUCGAGCGGCAGCGGAAAGUAGCUUGCUACUUUGCCGGCGAGCGGCGGACGGGUGAGUAAUGUCUGGGAAACUGCCUGAUGGAGGGGGAUAACUACUGGAAACGGUAGCUAAUACCGCAUGACCUCGAAAGAGCAAAGUGGGGGAUCUUCGGACCUCACGCCAUCGGAUGUGCCCAGAUGGGAUUAGCUAGUAGGUGAGGUAAUGGCUCACCUAGGCGACGAUCCCUAGCUGGUCUGAGAGGAUGACCAGCCACACUGGAACUGAGACACGGUCCAGACUCCUACGGGAGGCAGCAGUGGGGAAUAUUGCACAAUGGGCGCAAGCCUGAUGCAGCCAUGCCGCGUGUGUGAAGAAGG
rnacentral:rRNA from 1 species